UACGAGAGGCCCAAACGUUAUUCGGAAUUACUGGGCUUACAGAGUUCGUAGGCGGCUCAGAAAGUUGGGUGUGAAAUCCCUCGGCCCAACCGAGGAAUUGCGCUCAAAACUACUGAGCUUGAGGGGUAUAGAGGUAAGCGGAACUGAUGGUGGAGCGGUGAAAUGCGUUGAUAUCAUCAGGAACACCGGUGGCGAAGGCGGCUUACUGGGUACCUCCUGACGCUGAGGAACGAAAGCUAGGGGAGCGAACGGG
rnacentral:rRNA from 2 species